rnacentral:lncRNA from 1 species
UGAGGAGAUCCACCUACGACCUCAGGUCAUCAGACCAGCCAGCCCAAGGACCAUUUCACCAAUUUCAAAUCGAUUCCCAGCAAUAUGAAGACACCCUAGCUGGAUGAUCAGUUCCUGUUAAGAAUAUGACCCCUCAAACCUUGAUGGACUGGACCCUGCUUAGUCAUCUAUAGUACCCCAACUGCUGUCUGCCUGCAGGACCCUCUGUAUUGGGUUCACCAUUCCAGAAUAAAGCUGUGUCUGCCAGCCAGCCAGCCUGAUCUCUCCUCUUCCUCCUGG